rnacentral:rRNA from 1 species
AGAGUUUGAUCAUGGCUCAGAACGAACGCUGGCGGCAUGCCUAACACAUGCAAGUCGAACGCCUGUAGCAAUACAGGAGUAGCGGACGGGUGAGUAACGCGUGGGGACCUGCCUCGAAGUUCGGAAUAACCGCGGGAAACUGCGGCUAAUACCGGAUGUGGCCUGAGGGCCAAAGGGGAAACUCGCUUCGAGAGGGGCCCGCGUCCGAUUAGCUAGUUGGUGAGGUAACGGCUCACCAAGGCGACGAUCGGUAGCUGGUCUGAGAGGAUGAUCAGCCACACUGGGACUGAGACACGGCCCAGACUCCUACGGGAGGCAGCAGUGGGGAAUAUUGGACAAUGGGGGCAACCCUGAUCCAGCAAUGCCGCGUGAGUGAUGAAGGCCUUCGGGUUGUAAAGCUCUUUUGGCGGGGACGAUGAUGACGGUACCCGCAGAAUAAGCCCCGGCUAACUUCGUGCCAGCAGCCGCGGUAAUUC